AUUGAACGCUGGCGGCAGGCCUAACACAUGCAAGUCGAACGAGUGGCGGACGGGUGAGUAAUGUCUGGGAAACUGCCUGCUGGAGGGGGAUAACUACUGGAAACGGUAGCUAAUACCGCAUACCAUCAGAUGUGCCCCGAUGGGAUUAGCUAGUUGGUGGGGUAACGGCGCACCAAGGCGACGAUCCCUCGCUGGUCUGAGAGGAUGACCGGCCACACUGGAACUGAAGCACGGUCCAGAGUCCUACGAGAGGCAGCAGUGGAGAAUAUUGCACAAUGGGCGCAAGCCUGAUGCAGCCAUGCCGCGUGUAUGAAGACGGCCUUCGGGUUGUAAAGUACUUUCAGCGGGGAGGCGUUACCCGCAGAAGAAGCACCGGCUAACUCCGUGCCAGCAGCCGCGGUAAUUC
rnacentral:rRNA from 1 species